rnacentral:rRNA from 1 species
GAACGAUGAUACCACUGUCGGUGGGGAUUAGUGGCGAACGGGUGAGUAACACGUGGGCAAUCUGCCCUGCACUCUGGGACAAGCCCUGGAAACGGGGUCUAAUACCGGAUACUGAUCCUCGCAGGCAUCUGCGAGGUUCGAAAGCUCCGGCGGUGCAGGAUGAGCCCGCGGCCUAUCAGCUAGUUGGUGAGGUAACGGCUCACCAAGGCGACGACGGGUAGCCGGCCUGAGAGGGCGACCGGCCACACUGGGACUGAGACACGGCCCAGACUCCUACGGGAGGCAGCAGUGGGGAAUAUUGCACAAUGGGCGAAAGCCUGAUGCAGCGACGCCGCGUGAGGGAUGACGGCCUUCGGGUUGUAAACCUCUUUCAGCAGGGAAGAAGCGAAAGUGACGGUACCUGCAGAAGAAGCGCCGGCUAACUACGUGCCAGCAGCCGCGGUAAUACGUAGGGCGCAAGCGUUGUCCGGAAUUAUUGGGCGUAAAGAGCUCGUAGGCGGCUUGUCACGUCGGUUGUGAAAGCCCGGGGCUUAACCCCGGGUCUGCAGUCGAUACGGGCAGGCUAGAGUUCGGUAGGGGAGAUCGGAAUUCCUGGUGUAGCGGUGAAAUGCGCAGAUAUCAGGAGGAACACCGGUGGCGAAGGCGGAUCUCUGGGCCGAUACUGACGCUGAGGAGCGAAAGCGUGGGGAGCGAACAGGAUUAGAUACCCUGGUAGUCCACGCCGUAAACGGUGGGCACUAGGUGUGGGCAACAUUCCACGUUGUCCGUGCCGCAGCUAACGCAUUAAGUGCCCCGCCUGGGGAGUACGGCCGCAAGGCUAAAACUCAAAGGAAUUGACGG